UAGGGAAUCUUCGGCAAUGGACGGAAGUCUGACCGAGCAACGCCGCGUGAGUGAAGAAGGUUUUCGGAUCGUAAAGCUCUGUUGUAAGAGAAGAACGAGUGUGAGAGUGGAAAGUUCACACUGUGACGGUAUCUUACCAGAAAGGGACGGCUAACUACGUGCCAGCAGCCGCGGUAAUACGUAGGUCCCGAGCGUUGUCCGGAUUUAUUGGGCGUAAAGCGAGCGCAGGCGGUUAGAUAAGUCUGAAGUUAAAGGCUGUGGCUUAACCAUAGUACGCUUUGGAAACUGUUUAACUUGAGUGCAAGAGGGGAGAGUGGAAUUCCAUGUGUAGCGGUGAAAUGCGUAGAUAUAUGGAGGAACACCGGUGGCGAAAGCGGCUCUCUGGCUUGUAACUGACGCUGAGGCUCGAAAGCGUGGGGAGCAAACAGGAUUAGAUACCCUGGUAGUCCACGCCGUAAACGAUGAGUGCUAGGUGUUAGACCCUUUCCGGGGUUUAGUGUCGCAGCUAACGCAUUAAGCACUCCGCCUGGGGAGUACGGCCGCAAGGUUG
rnacentral:rRNA from 1 species